AGAGGCUCACAACAAGCAGCUCCUCACAUUUCCAUAAACUUUGAGAGCUAGGCAGUGUGGAAGGAAGGAAGGAAGGAAGGAAGGAAGGAAGGAAGGAAGGAAGGAAGGAAGGAAGGAAGGUAGGAAGGUGACUUUAUUUACCAUUCUUACAUGCGUGUGACUGGGUCCUAGGUCAUGUUUCCCACACCCAACAAAGAUGGUUUCUAUCCUCUUCUGGUUUCCUCUUUCUCAUCUAGGUUCUUCAGGUACGAUUUCAAAUGAUGUGGAAUUCAAGAGAAUGCCAAGGAAGCUGGAGAAAUUUUGCCAAGGAUCCAGGGAGAAGACUUCAGCCCUGGGUCUCUAAGAUGGACAUCAGCCACUGCACUGGACAGAUUUCUUAACUGAGGAUCAGCUGGGCUUUACAGCAUGUCCACAUAGACAGAGGAAACACCAAGCCCUGAAAUCAUUUUGUGGGAGGUGAGAGGAGCUGGAGAUCGCAGGAGGCAAAGGUGAGGAGUGAGAGUAUUCCAGCCACCAUGAGAAAUGGAGCAUGUUCUAAGAGGAGCAGCAAACAGACCCAUUUGCCUGGAGCACAGAGUGAGUAAAGAAAGUAAUGGGAAAUAAGGCUGGAGAGGUAGGUUGGGGCCCUGUUGGGAAGGGCUGUAAAUGUCAGGCUGAGGAGUUCGCCCAUUAUUCUAGAGGCGAGAGGGAGCUUUCAAAGAAAGUCAUAUAGCGAUUUUUUUUUUCAUAAGAAGGUUCCUUUACAUUGAAUUGCACAGUGGGUGAUGGACUGGGCUGGCAUUUACCAUGUUAUUAGGUUGAAAAAGUCUUUCCCUCAAGGUGCAAAAGCGUCUUCUAUGUAUUUCCUUGUUCUUACAUUCUAUAUUAAAAUGUUUUAAAUUCUUCUACCUAUGAUAACAAAAUGACAUUUGUAUGCGUUGAGAAAGAUGAGCAUUUAAUCGGGUUUCUUAAUUGGAUGGAUUCUCCAAUGGACAUUUCCAGAUUAAAUUCUGGGUUUGAUUUUAUACAACAAGAUUGAAGCAUUUCUAGCCUUUCUCUUAGCUGAGAAUUAUCGUAGGAAGAAAAUAGGUGAAAUUAAUGAGCCCUAUUUAGUUCUGAUGCUUAAUACUUAAAGUGACUGUAAACAUAUAGGAACCACACCCAGGCACAUAAUACCUGCGACACUGGAGCCAUUUGAAAAACCCAGAUGGUGUUUGAGAAAGAAUUCACCCACCUAUUAGCAUAACUAGGCAGCAGAUCUUUCCAUGGAAUGACUUUAGCUUUCUACCCC
rnacentral:lncRNA from 1 species